AGAAGAGAAUGUGGACAGGGCUAAUGACAUGCUUCCAAA
rnacentral:piRNA from 1 species